rnacentral:lncRNA from 1 species
AUAGGCUCUCUCUGCUCGGCCAUUUGGUUGUCAUGAGGAAUGAGAGUGUGGUAAAGCUCUUGAAACACAUCAUAUGGUAGGUAUGUAUGCAAUCUCAAUUUGGAACAAGAUACAAAUGUCCAAGGGAGUGGAUUUUUAGCUUGAAGGAAGAAAGUUGCUACAAUGGACAACGUACAGCUCUGGAACCAGCUACCUUGAAAAGUUGUGCACAACCAGGGGUUGAAGGUGCCUUAGAAGAGAGUCUUCCUGUGGUGGGAGGGUGACAGAAUUCAUUGUUUAUGAACGUUGGCUGCAGAUGAUUUCCCUUUCAUGUAUCAGAGGGGAAAGGCAAAAAAUGGUAUACCUGUAUGUAUGUGAGACGCAGGAUUAUCAUACAUAUAUUUAUUUAUAAUCAAUAAAUAUUUUACUGCAUAU